AGAGUUUGAUCAUGGCUCAGGAUGAACGCUGGCGGUAUGCUUAACACAUGCAAGUCGAACGGGACUUUUCGGAGUUCAGUGGCAGACGGGUGAGUAACGCGUGAGAAUCUGGCUUCAGGUUCGGGACAACCAUUGGAAACGAUGGCUAAUACCGAAUGUGCCGCAGGGUGAAAGAUUAAUUGCCUGAAGAUGAGCUCGCGUCUGAUUAGCUAGUUGGUGGGGUAAGAGCCUACCAAGGCGACGAUCAGUAACUGGUCUGAGAGGAUGACCAGUCACACUGGGACUGAGACACGGCCCAGACUCCUACGGGAGGCAGCAGUGGGGAAUUUUCCGCAAUGGGCGAAAGCCUGACGGAGCAAUACCGCGUGAGGGAGGAAGGCUCUAGGGUUGUAAACCUCUUUUCUCAGGGAAGAACAAAAUGACGGUACCUGAGGAAUAAGCAUCGGCUAACUCCGUGCCAGCAGCCGCGGUAAUACGGAGGAUGCAAGCGUUAUCCGGAUUUAUUGGGCGUAAAGCGUCCGCAGGUGGCAGUUCAAGUCUGCUGUCAAAGGUCGGGGCUCAACCCCGAACAGGCAGUGGAAACUGAACAGCUAGAGUACGGUAGGGGCAGAGGGAAUUCCCAGUGUAGCGGUGAAAUGCGUAGAGAUUGGGAAGAACACCGGUGGCGAAAGCGCUCUGCUAGGCCGAAACUGACACUCAUGGACGAAAGCUAGGGGAGCGAAUGGGAUUAGAUACCCCAGUAGUCC
rnacentral:rRNA from 1 species